GCCUUCGUUGCUUCUCGCAGUCUCCUCGCAAAUCCUUCCUCUGCCACGGCACCCGCCCAGCACACACGGCACACGCGUGCACCCACGCACAAGGCCACGCCGUGUUCGGCGUAGCCACGAUCCAGCCGUGUCGCCCACCCCUCACGCCCUCUCUCUCACAGGCGCACAAUAGCGUGUUUUGCUUUCAUUGAAUUGCAACAGCCAUGACAGACGGCGGCGAUUAUGAGACGGCGCGAGUGAUGGUCUCAGUGCGCGUGCGACCGAAGCUUGCACAUCCGCUGACCCCCCUCCAGCAGAGUGAGCGCUACGAGAAGGUCGUUUGCAUCCCCUCCUCUGACAAGUCGCUGCGACUCGCCGACUGUCGUGCGAAGAAAGGCACUCGCGACCUCCACUUCGCCUACGACCACGUAUUCGACAUGGACGCGACGCAGGAGGACGUGUACGAGGCCGCCGUGCUCGACUGCGUGGACAGUGUCCUGGCCGGCACGAACGCUUCCAUUCUCACAUAUGGGCAGACCGGCAGCGGAAAGACGUUCACGGUGCUGGGAAAGACGGCCGUCGUGCACGACAGUGGGAAGGACUUGCACGCCGUUGACUCCGACACGGGCUUGCUCUUACGCUCUAUUCAAGACAUGCUGAUCUUCGCUGAGCGCAUGCGCGCCAAGUGUGAGCGCCACGUUGUGCUCGGCAUGACCGCCCUUGAAAUCUACAUGGACGAGAUCCGUGACUUGUUGCGCGAGGGAGUGGCUGGCCGGCCGCUGCAGCCCAUCAUGACGCGUGGCGUUCUGCAUCUGCCGCACCUCACGCAUGUGCCGCUGCGCACGCUACAGGACGCGUUCCACGUGUACGAGAGAGCAGCGGCGCGCCGAGUGCAGAGGGUGACUUCUGCGAACGACACUUCCUCUCGCUCGCACGCUUUCUUCACGAUCGAGGUGUUUCAGGCCCCCAUUACGCCCGACCACCCAUCUCCGCCCACCCUGGCUGAGUGCUGCGCGCUGCGGGAGGCACGAUGUGCCGCAUCGAUUGCAGCGGAGCAGAAGCAGAGAGGGCCUCAGCUACUGCGCAGUGAGUGUUUUGAGGGUGCCGCGAACGCGCUGCUUGGCACACGCUCCGCACCUGUCAUGUACAGCACACUGACGGUGGCGGACCUUGCAGGCAGUGAGAAGGCGAAGCACGCUGAGGUGCACGGAACAGGUUUCGACGAACUGCGACACAUCAACGCUUCCCUCACCGCACUCGGCAACGUUGUUCACCACCUCUACCACGGUACGCCGCACAUUCCAUACCGUGACAGCAAGCUCACAAUGAUGCUGCGCGACACGUUUGCGGCUCCCCGUGCGCAGGUGGCACUCUUCGUGAAUGUGAGCCCGACAGCUGUGACGUGUGAGGAGACGCUCUCGUCACUCUACUUUGCUGACAAGAUAAAGAGCAUGAGGGUGCUUGGCACCGGCGCCGAGUCGCCACAGCAUGCCGCACUCCAGUCAGCGUACUUGGAGUCCAUUUACGUCCACGACGCUCUCCUCGCUGAGGCACGCAUCGUUCAGGUUCAACAAGAGCACGCGACGGGGCUUCUGCAGCUCGCGGCGGCGUCAACGCCGCGACACCCUCUGUUCCAGCUACCUUUUCACACGCCCCUGGCCAACGGCACGGACAAGACAACCCGAAUGCAAGUUUUGUGCACGCGCCUAAGGGAACGGCUGGCGCAUGAAGAGAGCCCCGAGGCUCGCAUGCGCAACUUCCUCGAGACGCGACGGAGAGAGCUCUUGAGGGACAUGCUGAGGCAGUAUAGUCGACGCCGCGCUGAGGUGCAAACGCAAAUCACCACCGCUGAUGAGGCGGGCCUCGAUCUACGCGCCCAACUGUCUCGUGAUGAGUCUGCCAUGCGCCAGCUUCUCAGCAAGGUGGAGGAGGCUGCUGCGGCCGUCACGGCAACACGGCAGGAGCUGAUAAAAGUCAAAAAUAUGCGAUUAGGGGAGCUGCAGCGCUUGCGCGACUUCGAGGAGGCGCCGAACGAGGGUGAAGGGGGCAUCGUAGACGCGCACGCAGCCCAUGCCGACGAUGAGGCGAGUCUGGCCGCCUUUGAGCAAGAAAGGGCUACAUACAAGAAGGCGCUGGAGCUGGCGCAGCUUCUUCUCACGCUCGUGGGACUCAUGGCUCCUGGAUCUACUCCUUCACCAUCUGCGCACACAGACGGUGAGCCGGCUGCUGGUCAUGGUCGACGGAACACCACCUCCCGCAGUUGCAGAGACGCCAAAUCCACCACGGCGUCUUCCACCCCUUCCAAGCCUGCUUCUACCGAGGCGUGGCUGCGAGGCGCUGUACUGGCGAUGGCAGGCAACGCUGUUGUGCAGUCUUCAAGGAAACACCCGAGGCAGCAACGGCAGCAGGAGAAACUCCAGCCGAUUUCUCUACCGCAGCCGUUUCGCAUCGUCAGCAACUUCACCAACGUCAGUGGAGAUCCACAGCCUCUUCCCAAGUACUGGAGCGUGUGUCAUAGGUGCGAGGAGACGGGGAAGGUAGAGGCGGAUGCCAACGCCGGCGCUGUUGCCCCCGAUGCGAUUGGGAAGGGCACCAGCCGCAGGCCCCGCCACCUCUCUUCCUUCGACGACCCUGCGCUUCUGACACGGGUGACCGCUUACAUGGACAUGGGCGCCUCUCUCACGAAGCUCGACCGCUAUGGUCGCCCACACGCGCGUUGGUUUUACCUCUCACAGAGAAACAACCGUCUGCUGUUGUGUUGGGAUGAGUCGCAUCGUGGGCCGGGGCUAAUGGGCGGUGGCCGUGUGUACUUGGAUGAGGUGGUGAAGAUCACGUUGGGGCGCUCCUCGCCUGCCUUUCGUAAGUACUCCACCCACGAGCGCAAGAGCGAAGUUGGUGACUUCUGUACUUCCUUCACUCUCGCCUAUCGAACCCGCGCACGUAGGCGGCACUUGAAGUUUGUUGAUGUCAUGUGCCGUGAUCGGGUAGAGGUGGAGACGUGGGUUGUUGGUCUCGCUCAAUUGGCCGGCGUCUUCCCGUGCUUCGAAGGCGCGCGCCAACCCAUCGGGCCGGAGGAUGGAUACGAGGAAGAGGCAGCGGUCACGGGCAGCGCCGCCGCCGCCAACGCCGAUGCCGCGGCAGCCAAAGAGGCGCAGAAGGAGCUCUCUGCCGUCGAGACGGUGCUGUGCCGUAGCUGGCACAUUCCUGCUCAAACGAUGCUGCACACUCGGCGAGAGAUCGAGACACGUCGACAGCGCCACCAGUCUGGCCGGCUGCGCCUGAGCCCUAGUGAGCUGCGCGAACGGACGGGGCUCGACAUCUUCAGAGCCAGUGCGUUGUGGCUGCACUUCAACCGGGAAGGCAGUGUGGUAAAUCCGUUCAAGGAGCUGCACUGCUACGUAUCUGAUCAGGUUCCGUCGUCGGUGCCGGCUUCUGGAUCGCUUCCUCGAGCGAUGCCCGGCUGCAUUGCCUGACAGCUGUCAGCGCCGCCCGAAAAGGUUCUGUGCGAGCACUGCGUCGACAGUUGGGGAGUGAGGAUGGGACGAGGAGCGGCAUCCAUGUUGUCCUUCUCAGCCCGUCGUUGGCAUCUCAGAGCGAAACCUCUGCUUGUACCUCAGCAAGCCUUCCUUCCACCCGACGUAUUGCUUUCCCGCUUAGAUGGCAACGGACAGCGGUGGGGGGAGGGUGGUGGAGGAGCGUUUGAGUGUACCGUGAUUGGACGCGAUGCCCACGUGUGCGUGUACAUACAUGUGUCUGUGUGUGUGUGCACGUGGUGGUGCUGUGCGCGUGUCGUCCUCAUUUCUCCCGCCUUUUUGUUUUCACCUUUGCUAGAUGCAUAAAAGCCCCCGCUUGGCAUCAGGGUGGUGCCGCCUUGUGUGUGUGUGUCCCGUUUAUCAUGUCCCAUUAGAAACUGUUGCGGCACAUCCACCCCCACUUACACGGCUUCGUGUAUAUGUGUGCUGUGCAUAGAGUAGAAUGAGCUCUCCCUGUUGAUGGAAGUGCUCCGUGCCUCGAUACAUGCCUCAGAGUGUGCGCGUAGGUGUGCGUAUCGAUGAGCCUGUUGGUUGUUUUGACUUUUGUUUGUGUGCUACCACGGAGGAGGGGGAGGGGGUUUCUCUGUCGUGCACGGCACGCACCACCGCACCCCGCUGUCUCGCAGUGGCCCUCUUCUGCUCUUCUGCUCUUCUGCUCUUCUGCGAUGGGCGCGUUUAUGCGCCGCAGGGGUGCUGCCACGCCGCAGGGGACCGAGAGCGGCGCCAUCGACACAGGAAACCCCCGAAGUCAGAGCCUAAGGCGCAAUGGCGUUUGUGGUGAAGACAAGAGGAUGCCUUUGUGUUGUGACGUUGUUUUGCUGUGUGUUCUUUUCCCACCCCAGCAGCUGAAACUGCCUGUCACUUCCCUCUUCCCGGUCUUUUCUUCUGCGUUCGAUCUGAAAUGCUGAGGCUGCCGCGCAGAGCAGUAGCAGCGAUGCUGUUCUCACUUCCCGCGACGGGCACGCACGCGCGUUCAUGGACCCUUGUAGCAGAGGGUCUGUCCUCAUCGUCUCAGUAUCCUUAUCUUGUGUUUCCACUAUUUAGACCUUGGCGUUGAGGUUGCUUCUCACGUUUGGGUCUCCCUUCAUAUAUGUUGUGUUUCAGAUGAGGGGAGUGCCACCUCCCCCCUUCUCCACCCCCUCACACUCUCUUGUCCUUUCACGGUGCCAAGCGCCGCGGGCGACAUGAAGGCGCCGCAUCUUUUCUGCCCUUGCGCUCUCUCUCACCCUGUUUUUCCACCACUUAGUGACAAGAGAGGCACAGCAAGCAAUCUUGAAAAGGCUGAUGCGCGCGUUCAAGCCUUUCCGCGCUUGCGAGCUCAACGACACAGAACAGACACGUUCUCACGCUUUUGCGAGGUACCCGCUCUGCCGCUGCCGCACCUCAACAACUCCCACAGACUCCUUUGGAACUGACCCUCGUCUCCUUGCUUGACUCGGAGAUAAGUUCGAGGGGGGUACCGGGACCACUGAACCCUCGCCCUCCUCCUCCGUUUCAGAGCAGAGAGCCUUUGCUCGCUCGAGCCCUUUUCUUUCAACUCGACUCGCAACGCACGCCCACCCUUCUCCCUCUUCACUUCUCUUUGCGCUGCACGCAUGCGCGGCUGCGUCGAGCGUCAAG
rnacentral:misc_RNA from 1 species